rnacentral:rRNA from 1 species
UACGUAGGUGGCGAGCGUUAUCCGGAAUUAUUGGGCGUAAAGAGCGCGCAGGUGGUUGAUUAAGUCUGAUGUGAAAGCCCACGGCUUAACCGUGGAGGGUCAUUGGAAACUGGUCGACUUGAGUGCAGAAGAGGGAAGUGGAAUUCCAUGUGUAGCGGUGAAAUGCGUAGAGAUAUGGAGGAACACCAGUGGCGAAGGCGGCUUCCUGGUCUAUUAUUGACGCUGAGGCUCGAAAGCGUGGGGAGCAAACAGGAUUAGAUACCCGU